AAAGGAAGUGUGGUUCAAGUAGUGGAAAGUAAGCCUUGAGCGAAAAAGCUAAGGAAAAGUGCCCAGGCCCUGAGUUUAAACCCCAAUACCAACACACACACACACACACACACACACACACACACACACACAAUUUAAGUAGGUUGGAUGACAAGUUUCUCCUUUCACUAGCAAAUCUGCCAGAGUCUGUAAUAUUCAGGUUGUAUCUAUGAGUUCAGAAAGAUACAGGUAUAUCUGCCUUGGAGAAUUAUGUUACUUCUUAGUGUCAGCAAGUACAGGUUUUUGUAAGCAGAGUGUCUGUGAAUUGUAACUAGAUCUUUGUUUUUGAGCCAUUAAAUUAGAAUUCAGAGAUAGGGAGCUUUUGUUUUCUCUUUCUUUCCUCCACCAUGGAUGGAGAGAGGUAUUCCUUAAAAGGUAGGAUACAUAGGGAGCAGGCCUAGAUUACAGUUCUGUUCAUAGCUUUGCCAUAUCUAGCUGCUGAUUUCAUGGAGUCAACUUCUCAAGAAUCCUGUUUUCCUCAUUUGCUGUAUGUGAAGUAAUAGUCAUCAAAGAAGGCCAUUAUUCAGGUUCUGCAGUAUGUUGUUUUAUU